rnacentral:rRNA from 1 species
AAUAGAUACCCGGGUAGUCCACGCCGUAAACGAUGAAUACUAGGUGUAGGGGUUGUCAUGACCUCUGUGCCGCCGCUAACGCAUUAAGUAUUCCGCCUGGGGAGUACGGUCGCAAGAUUAAAACUCAAAGGAAUUGACGGGGGCCCGCACAAGCAGCGGAGCAUGUGGUUUAAUUCGAAGCAACGCGAAGAACCUUACCUAGACUUGACAUCUCCUGAAUUACCCUUAAUCGGGGAAGCCCUUCGGGGCAGGAAGACAGGUGGUGCAUGGUUGUCGUCAGCUCGUGUCGUGAGAUGUUGGGUUAAGUCCCGCAACGAGCGCAACCCUUAUUGUUAGUUGCUACCAUUUAAUUGAGCACUCUAGCGAGACUGCCCGGGUUAACCGGAGGAAGGUGGGGAUGACGUCAAAGUCAUCAUGCCCCUUAUGUCUAGGGCUACACACGUGCUACAAUGGCUGGUACAGAGAGAUGCUAAACCGUGAGGUGGAGCCAAACUUUAAACCAGUCUCAGUUCGGAUUGUAGGCUGAAACUCGCCUACA